UACGUAGGGGGCAAGCGUUGUCCGGAAUCAUUGGGCGUAAAGCGCGUGUAGGCGGUCCGGUAAGUCCGCUGUGAAAGUCGGGGGCUCAACCCUCGGAUGCCGGUGGAUACUGUCGGGCUUGAGUACGGAAGAGGCGAGUGGAAUUCCUGGUGUAGCGGUGAAAUGCGUAGAUAUCAAGAGGAACACCUGAGGUGAAGACGGGUUGCUGGGCUGACACUGACGCUGAAGCGCGAAAGCUAGGGGAGCAAACGGG
rnacentral:rRNA from 1 species